CGCCACGAGCAACAGGAAGAGGUGUAGGCUGCACAAGAGUCUGGAGGCUGCUGUGAGGGCAGAGAUGUAGAAGAUUAUCACACAGAGGCAGGAACAUACGAUUAGCAACCCAUCCCCCUAAUAUAGUAAGAAUGCAUUUAUCAAUCAAUUCACACACUGAAUGGAACGCCAAUGAACCUGAGCUUUCGUCCACGGCCGGGAGGUUCAAACUGCGUUCCUCGUUGGUCGCGUAGAUCUCUUCCUCUUCUGUGGAAAGAAAGAACAAGCACUUGAUUCGAAAGCGCACAUCCCAUUGCAUGCACGCGAACACUUGCAACAUAUUAUGAAAUAGAUGACGGUGGGCCGCGGGGAGCCGCGCGCGCGACACCUCAGCUUGAUGUCGUUGCCUUCCUGCGCGAUCACGUCGCCGGUGCUCUCGUUGUCCACGAUGUCGGGCGGCACUGUGGGCGGGG